rnacentral:rRNA from 1 species
UACGUAGGUGGCAAGCGUUGUCCGGAUUUACUGGGCGUAAAGAGCUCGUAGGCGGUCUGUCACGUCGGAUGUGAAAAUCCAGGGCUUAACCCUGGACCUGCAUUCGAUACGGGCAGACUAGAGUUCGGUAGGGGAGACUGGAAUUCCUGGUGUAGCGGUGAAAUGCGCAGAUAUCAGGAGGAACACCGGUGGCGAAGGCGGGUCUCUGGGCCGAUACUGACGCUGAGGAGCGAAAGCGUGGGGAGCGAACAGG